rnacentral:lncRNA from 1 species
CCCUAUUUAAUAAGGCGGUUCUAAAACCGCACCAAAAAAAUGACGAAACCGCACUAAAAAACCAAUGGGGUUUUCCAUACAUGAAGAUUAGAACCACCUCAUUAAAUGAUACAACCGCCCUUUUAAAUAAAAAUAGAAUCGCACUAAAAAAGUAUUGCAGCAUUUCCAAGAUAAACAAUAGCAGCAUCUAAAAAGUUUUUUCCAACAUAGACAAAACCCAUAAAUUUUAUAAUUCUGAAACAAAAUAACAAAAAUUAACCCAUAAAUUUUAUAAGAUAUAAUGGCAUAAUACAUGCAGUGAGGACAUUCAAAUUAUUUAACAAACAAGUUGCAUUUAAUUGUAGAAAACAGAGAAAUAUAUAAUCAUUUGAGCCCUAUCUCCUUGCAACUCUUGUAGUCUUGUUCCAAUUUGGUAAAUUUAAUUCAACUUGAUUCUAGCUGAGCAUAGCCUAUAAAAAGAACACAAAACCAUGCAUGAAAAUUCAUGGAAUUAGUUUAUAUUAUCAUAUGGUAUAAUAAACAUUCGUGAAACGGAACCAAACUGGAACCGAUUAGUGGUAUUCGGUCGGGUUCCCAAAUCUCUCAAUCCAUCAUUUUUGGUUUUCGGUUUCGGAACGGUUUACAUCCCUAUGUGAAACAUAUAGGGAAAAAUUAUUCUCUUUCAUAAGAACAAUAGUAAAGAGAUUAGACACAAACCGAAGGUAAAGAGCUUGGAUACAAAAUAUUCUCCUAAUCCCUUGUCUGGUUAAAAGACACAAAUUGCCCUCCUCAUCCUCAUCAAAAGUAAAUCUACAGUCAAACGAUUUUCUUGAAUACAAGUUUGUAGAGUUAUUAUUGCUUCUUUUCUAACCAGUUCAUCACUGUAUCUAUUUAAUUGGAUAUAGUGACUACACAGAACACCAUUAAAUCAUUAAAAAAAACAUUUGCUAGAUUUCCAAAACUUUGAUUUCACUAGUGUUUGUAAACUAGAUUUUAACUUUAUAAAUGAUAAACGAAUAGAACCUAAGAAAGUAACUCAAAUGCAAACCUUAAGGAUUAAAACAUCAUAUCUAUGGCAAGAAUAACAGCUUUAUAUACUUUGUUUUUUAUCGCUUUCUCCCUAGCAUCCUAUCAAGAAAUGGAUCCUCUUCACAUAUGCAUCAAAGUUGUACAACCUCUAUCUAUUUUGACAACUUCCUUCUCUUUUGACUUUUCUUCAUUCAUGGCGUUUAAUUGAGCCUUUAAUGGUACACACAGGUGAGAAUUCUUAUAUUAAAUCAACUUAAUGAUGUUAGAAUGAAAGCUUAACAUAAAGAUAUAACUACGUACCUAUGACCCAAACAAAACAUCUGCCCACCUGUUGACACAACAUCUUGUGGUACCCGUAUAUAAAAAGGGGAGUUGUUUUAUUAAAAAAAGCAUCAAGGGAUGUAAAAGGCCACAUCUAAGAAAGUUUAACUGCUUGUUAUUGUUCGGAGAUGACUUAGGCAUUUAAACAAACAGGUCGAGUGCAAUGGAUAAACCCUAAAUUCCUAAUACCCUAUCUUAUUUAUACAUGUCUCAGUUUCCACCAAAACUAAUCAAUUGAAACAAUCACAUUCACACGAUCAUACGCUACAUGCAGAUAAUUAAAAGAAAGAAUAAGAGUCUUUUUAUUACUCACCAUUCUUUGAACCGCUUAAGAUCAGAAAUUUUAGACUUAGAUGAAGCUACGCCAUUCGAAGGGGUUGUUGUGUCGGCGUGGAGGCUACCUUACUGUAGGUGGGUAGAAAUCGAUGAGAUUGUCGGGGUAAUACACCGGUAGGAGAAGAAAGCGUACAGGGGAAGGGUCUUUGAGGCGUGCAGAGGACGAACCAAAGCGAAAUCAGUGAAGACACGAAAAAUCAAAACAUUUAGCAAUUUAUGAAUAGAAAAUCAGAAAAAUCAAAAGCUAGGGUUUUCAGAUUUUGUACCGGAGCAAGAGGAGGAGGAAGUCGACGACAUCUAUUGUGUCGUCUGUCGUUUGGGUGAGAGAUGAAGAAUUAAAUAUUGGUAGGAAACACAUGGCGCCGAGAAUGAAAAAAUUGAAAGGGAAGCACUGCCAAGAACCAAAUAUUAGGAGGGAAUAGGUAAGUGAAUGUUUA